rnacentral:rRNA from 1 species
AUGGGUGGCAACUCAGAUGUACAUGAGGCACCAGGCGACAAUACUGCUGUUGCAUCGUUGACCGCUCCCACCAACUCUGAUGCAAGUGGCCAACCAUCCCCGCCGGCUGCAGAUGUCCAGGCUAGAAUAACAAGCAUCCGUACAUCGGGGAGUGACGAGUUGGUAUCUGCCAGGACAACUGAAAUAUUGCCAACUCUUCUGGCAAUGAAGGAUGCUGUUGUCAGCCAUGCCACCCCAUCAGCAAGCGAUGAAGUGGACGCUCCCGAGACGAACCUAGGCAAGGAAGAUUCCCGCUCAUCUGACACUGAUUCCAAGCGCGUGCAUGGUGGCACACCUGUGUCCACGACAGAAGCGGCUAAGGCGGCAGUUCACAAGGAUAUGCCAUCUACAGGUGAGUGUCCUGGCACAACAGCUCCAGCCCCUAUCGGUGCAGAUACUGCUAAGGCGACCGUGCCGCGUGCUGGUCUUCCACCUAGGCGUCGUAGCCCCCGCAAGCAACCAACAGACAUACCCAAUGCUCCGGCUGUACCUAGGAGUAGGAGAGACGAGUCUGGCUAUGUUCCUGCGUCCACACUGUUCCCGCCACCUGCCAAAAUCAAUGUGAUGGAGAAACCACAAGACCGGAGCACAACUGAUGCAGGUGUCAAGCCGGGCACGAGUGACGCAGGUGAACGGCCGGAGCAGACUGCGCCUUUACCCACAGUGGAAAUCCCCAGCAUAAAUCUGCGUACUUCCAGGCUCCCAAUCAAUGUCGGUGUCCCCUAA